UUUUUAUUGAGAGUUUGAUCCUGGCUCAGGACGAAC
rnacentral:rRNA from 1 species